AGUACCUACGGGGGGCAGCAGUGAGGAAUAUUGGUCAAUGGUCGGGAGACUGAACCAGCCAAGCCGCGUGAGGGAUGAAGGUACAGAGUAUCGUAAACCUCUUUUGUCAGGGAACAAAGGCGGGGACGCGUCCCCGGAUGAGUGUACCUGAAGAAAAAGCAUCGGCUAACUCCGUGCCAGCAGCCGCGGUAAUACGGAGGAUGCAAGCGUUAUCCGGAUUUACUGGGUGUAAAGGGAGCGUAGGUGGCAUGGUAAGCCAGAAGUGAAAACCCAGGGCUCAACUCUGCGGAUUGCUUUUGGAACUA
rnacentral:rRNA from 1 species